rnacentral:rRNA from 1 species
AGAGUUUGAUCCUGGCUCAGAUUGAACGCUGGCGGCAGGCCUAACACAUGCAAGUCGAGCGGCAGCGGGAAAGUAGCUUGCUACUAUUGCCGGCGAGCGGCGGACGGGUGAGUAAUGCCUGGGGAUCUGCCCAGUCGAGGGGGAUAACUACUGGAAACGGUAGCUAAUACCGCAUACGCCCUACGGGGGAAAGCAGGGGACCUUCGGGCCUUGCGCGAUUGGAUGAACCCAGGUGGGAUUAGCUAGUUGGUGAGGUAAUGGCUCACCAAGGCGACGAUCCCUAGCUGGUCUGAGAGGAUGAUCAGCCACACUGGAACUGAGACACGGUCCAGACUCCUACGGGAGGCAGCAG